rnacentral:rRNA from 1 species
UACGUAGGGGGCAAGCGUUAUCCGGAUUUACUAGGUGUAAAGGGAGCGCAGACGGCAUCGCAAGUCUGAUGUGAAAGCCCGGGGCUCAACCCCGGAACUGCAUUGGAAACUGCGGAGCUCGAGUGUCGGAGGGGUAAUCGGAAUUCCUAGUGUAGCGGUGAAAUGCGUAGAUAUUAGGAGGAACACCGGUGGCGAAGGCGGCUUACUGGACGACUACUGACGUUGAGGCUCGAAAGCGUGGGGAGCAAAC